rnacentral:rRNA from 1 species
UACGUAGGGUGCGAGCGUUAAUCGGAAUUACUGGGCGUAAAGCGUGCGCAGGCGGUUCGUUAAGUCAGCUGUGAAAGCCCCGGGCUCAACCUGGGAACUGCGGUUGAAACUGGCGAACUAGAAUCUGGCAGAGGGGGGUGGAAUUCCACGUGUAGCAGUGAAGUGCGUAGAGAUGUGGAGGAACACCGAUGGCGAAGGCAGCCCCCUGGGCUGAGAUUGACGCUCAGGCACGAAAGCGUGGGGAGCAAACAGG